UACGUAGGGACCGAGCGUUGUCCGGAAUCAUUGGGCGUAAAGAGCGUGUAGGCGGCUAUUUAAGUCCUGCGUGAAAUCCUGCGGCUCAACCGCAGACGGUCGUGGGAAACUGGAUGGCUAGAGUGCGGGAGAGGAGAGUGGAAUUCCCGGUGUAGCGGUGAAAUGCGCAGAUAGUCGGGAAGAACACCCGUGGCGAAGGCGGCUCUCUGGAACGCAACUGACGCUGAGACGCGAAAGCGUGGGGGAGCAAACAGG
rnacentral:rRNA from 1 species